rnacentral:rRNA from 1 species
GGAAGGGGUGUAUUUAUUAGAUAAAAAACCAAUGCCCUUCGGGGCUCCUUGGUGAAUCAUAAUAACUUAACGAAUCGCAUGGCCUUGCGCCGGCGAUGGUUCAUUCAAAUUUCUGCCCUAUCAACUUUCGAUGGUAGGAUAGUGGCCUACCAUGGUGGCAACGGGUAACGGGGAAUUAGGGUUCGAUUCCGGAGAGGGAGCCUGAGGAACGGCUACCACAUCCAAGGAAGGCAGCAGGCGCGCAAAUUACCCAAUCCCGACACGGGGAGGUAGUGACAAUAAAUACUGAUACGGGGCUCUUUUGGGUCUCGUAAUUGGAAUGAGUACAAUCUAAAUCCCUUAACGAGGAACAAUUGGAGGGCAAGUCUGGUGCCAGCAGCCGCGGUAAUUCCAGCUCCAAUAGCGUAUAUUAAAGUUGUUGCAGUUAAAAAGCUCGUAGUUGAACCUUGGGUCUGGCUGGCCGGUCCGCCUCACCGCGAGUACUGGUCCGGCUGGACCUUUCCUUCUGGGGAAUUUCAUGGCCUUCACUGGCUGUGGGGGGAACCAGGACUUUUAC